rnacentral:lncRNA from 1 species
ACAUAGCAAAUCUUCCCGUUUGUGGCAAAGAGGCAAAGGAAAAGCCAAGAGGGAAUCAGAGGAAAUAACUUCCAUCUAGAACAAAUUGCUGGAGAACUCUGCUGUCAAAAGGUCACAUUCUUUCUUUAGGCAAACCUGCACAGCUCUGCUGAGGUCAGAAGAAGGAGUAUGAGGAAGAGGAAAGCAUACCAAGGAAGUAAUCCUUCCUGUAUGACCUCUGGGUUCUGCUGCAUGACCCGAGUCUAUCUUCGAUGAAAGGAAGAGCUGGAAGGGAUAGCAUAGCACUCUCAUGCGUAAAACUUGAAGUCUCCUUCUUGCCCAUAUUAAAAACCAAGGUUGGGCAGAGUGUUUGGAGACUUAAAUGUGGCUUUUUGUUAGUGGAGAUCUCCUUGGUGUUGUGAAGAACUUUAAGUCCUGACCAAAGCAGAGCUGCAUUUAAACUGGUCCCACCUGCCCCAUGGGUGUACGUGCAAAUGGAAGUGAAGGAUGGCUGGCCUCAACAAAUGGGACUGCAGCAGGUGACUUCUUCCAUGAAGUCCUGGUGAAGAUCUGUUGUUGGGCAAAAAGUGGCAGUUGGCAACGAGACAUAAAGGUUUUGGGCCAAAGAGCAGGAGACACAGACAUGGAAGUUUCCAGGUUUCACCUCUUGAGAGAAGCUGUGUGACCCUCACUACUAUUCUGUUAAGUAGUUCUCCAAGUAAUGACUAUUGUAGGAUCAUCUUGUAGAGUUAAACUGUGAUCUUGAGGAAGAUCAGGAGAAAUGCUGGUCAGGUGCAGAAGUAUCUAGGGUCCUAACGUAGAUGUGGAAGGGACUGACUAGCCCCAUUCUCUUGUCUGGACU